CUCCUGAACCGAACGUAAAAGGAUGGCUUCUUGCUAUCGCUUACAGAUGGGGCCGCGGCGCAUUAGCUAGUUGGUAAGGUAACGGCUUACCAAGGCGACGAUGCGUAGCCGACCUGAGAGGGUGAUCGGCCACACUGGGACUGAGACACGGCCCAGACUCCUACGGGAGGCAGCAGUAGGGAAUCUUCCGCAAUGGACGAAAGUCUGACGGAGCAACGCCGCGUGAACGAUGAAGGCUUUCGGGUCGUAAAGUUCUGUUGUGAGGGAAGAACAAGGAUCGUGCGA
rnacentral:rRNA from 1 species